rnacentral:snRNA from 1 species
UCAGCUCUCUUUGCCUUUUGGCUUAGAUCAAGUGUAGUUUCUGUUCUUUUUAGUUUAAUCUCUAGAACGCCCCCUACGGGGGGCAAUUCUUUUGAUUAAACUAGUUUUUGGAAACCGGUCGACUGCGGCGCGCUGGGCUCCGCCUAAUCGUCGCCGGCCACGGUGUCGCCGGUAUUGCACUGCCUCCGGCCGACGCGAAUGGAU